rnacentral:rRNA from 1 species
UACGGAGGGCGCGAGCGUUACCCGGAUUUACUGGGCGUAAAGGGCGUGUAGGCGGUCUGGGGCGUCCCAUGUGAAAGGACACGGCUCAACCGUGGAGGAGCGUGGGAUACGCUCAGGCUAGACGGUGGGAGAGGGUGGUGGAAUUCCCGGAGUAGCGGUGAAAUGCGCAGAUACCGGGAGGAACGCGGUUGGCGAAUGUAGCCACCUGGCUCACUGGUGACGUUGCGGCGCGAAAGCGUGGUGAGCAAACCGG